GUGUUUGCUUCAGCAGCACAUAUACUAAAAUCAGAACAAUGCAAAGAUUAGCAUAGUCCCUGAGCAAGGAUGGCACACAGAGCUGUGAAGCAUUCCACAAUAAG
ensembl:snRNA Gm22675 U6 spliceosomal RNA